CCAGAGCAUCUCUCUCUCUGUCUCUCUCUCUCAUAUAAUCUCCAUAAAUUCUCUCUCUCUCUCUCAAUCGAAAGCAUUAACUCUGCAGAGCUCUAUAAUCUCUCUGCAGAGCUCUAUAAUCUCUCUUUCUCUCUCUGAAUCCCGUAAUCCCCCACCUUCAAUUUAACGUAUGGAUUUCGAUGACGAAGUCGAGAGAGGAGUAGAAGAACUCAAUUUGCUUUUCUUAAACGAACCAGAACCAGAGAAAGUGGUAAUUCAAGCCAUAAACCCCUCAAUUUGGAACAAUUUGCCUCCUGAUAUCUUAGAGAGAGUGAUCCACCAUCUCCCUGCUCUCUCCCUCUUAAAAUUCAGAACUAUUUGCAGAGACUGGUAUCGCCUCAUCUCUUCUCGAUCUUUCUCUCACUACUGUAACGACCCCUGGUUCGCCAUAUUCCCCACAAAACCCUCCAACCAUUUCUCUGCCUUUAACCCUGACCUUAACAAAUGGCACAAGCUCUCUCUUUCCUUCUUACCCUGUGAUUGCAACGGCCUCUCCUCAUCAGGUGGCUUGAUUUGUUGCAAAGGUGUGAUCAAUAAUUCUCUCUCUAUUAUUGUAUGCAACCCUAUAUCUCAAAACUAUGUAAUUUUGCCUCCUUUGCUGAGAAAAAGGAUUGUUCCCAUAGUGAACAUCAUAAAUCUAGGUUUGGGGUUUCGAGUCAUUGUUGCUGGGGAUGAUGUUUUAGCAGAUGGGCAUAGUGUUAGCGAUUUAACAUCGGAAAUUUACGAUUCAGCUACUGGUGAAUGGUCGAUGAGUGGACGUUUGCCCCCUCAAUCUGACCUAGAAUUUGGAUCUGCUUUCUGCCGUGGGAUCCUCUAUGUCCCCACCUAUCGACCAAUCGGGACUGUUCGUUUUGACCCACAAUUGGGAAUGUGGUCUAGGGUGCCGGCUUUUGUUCCUAGAAACUCGAGGAACGCAAGCUUGGUUGAAUGUUCAGGUAGACUUUUCAUGGUGGGUGGGGUUCAGAGGAAGCAAUCAAUAGUUGGAAUUAGGGUUUGGGAGCUUUGUGAUUGCUCAGUUUGGAGAGAAUUCGCGAGAAUGAGGAGACAGGUUUUGAGGAAGAUGAAGCUAAGGCUUGGGGAUUUGUAUUUUAGCGCAGUAGGUCAUGGGGAUUUUAUUUGUUUGUCAAUUUAUGAGAGCCCCGUGAUGAUCGGGUUUAACAUUGCUGACAAGAAAUGGAUUUGGCUGCCUCAGUUUCCCUGGGUGGGCUCGUUCGAUGGGGUUCACUUGCUGGGGCACCCAUAUAAGCCUACACUGCAUACUCCCGUUGACUAAAGAUUUUCAAGAUUCUGAUGUAUAUAUAUGGAAGCUGAAAUUGUUGUUGAGAGUCUUCUCUUGUGAAAAAAGGUUUGUGAUCAGAGAGUAGUUGGAGAUCUUUGAGAUGUGGUGACCAAAAAGUGAUAAAACGAGGAGAAAAAGCUUGCAAGGGUUCAACAAUGGUGGAUGAUUUUGUGGCUGAUGUGGAACUAGUGAGAGUAGAGCUUUAUAGAGGGGAAAUAUCUUGUUUUGUGGUGUUUGCUUGUAUGAUUGAAGCUCUUGGUGGAUCUCUCUUUGUUUAUGAUUUAACUAUUUCAAGUUAUCAUAAUUUUGCAGGUUUUUCAAUAAAUUCAAUGAUAAUUUUUUUCUUUCUUCUUUUAACUAUCAUUUUAUGCAAUUUUUAAGCUUUGUGAGAAGGGCAUUUUGGUCCAAAAACACUUGGCAAAAAUAUGUGGCUGGUUUGUUGAAAAUAAAUAAAAUGCUGUUGGUUUUAUUUGA